GUCUAUGGCCAUACUACUCUAAAAGUGCCUGAUCUCCUCUGAUCUCAGAAGCUAAGUAGGGUCGGGCCUGGCUAGUACUUGGAUGGGAGAUUUUUCAUUUCUUCCUUUGGUUAUGAAGACAGGUUAUUUUAUUAU
rnacentral:rRNA from 1 species